GGGUAACGGAGAAUUAGGGUUUGAUUCCGGAGAAGGAGCCUGAGAAACGGCUACUACUUCCAAGGAAGGCAGCAGGCGCGCAAAUUACCCACUCCUAAUUCAGGGAGGUAGUGACAAUAAAUAACGAUGUAGGACCCUCACGGGUGCUACAAUUGGAAUGAGUACAAUCUAAACCUCUUAACGAGUAACCAUUAGAGGACAAGUCUGGUGCCAGCACCCGCGGUAAUUCCAGCUCUAAUAGCGUAUAUUAAAGUUGUUGCGGUUAAAAAGCUCGUAGUUGAAUUUAAGGGUGGAAAAUCUCCGUCAAAAGAGACCAAGUAAGCGUCUGAUUCUGGGGUUUUUGUGGAACUACAAGGGAAAGGGUGGUAUUGUAGGGCUUGCUCUGCAGUGCUGCUCGAUAUCUUGUAGGUCUGCUCCUCGGGAUCGGCUUACCCACCCUUCGCUUUCCCUGUCAUAGUCAGAUUCUAUAUUAAAAUAAAGGUGCCAUUUUCUGUUUAUCUUUCGGGGUAGGCAGUUAGUGGUUACCCAUUAAUGUAGGGUCGUGGUUGGGGUUUCUCAACCAGCUUUGACAGGAGUUUACUUUGAGUAAAUUAGAGUGUUCAAAGCAGACAAAUUUAUCAGUCAUUGAAUAUUUUAGCAUGGGAUAAUAGAACAGGGCCUUUUUUCUUCUGUUUAUGGUUUCUGAGAAAUGAGGUAAUGAUUAAUAGGGACAAUUGGGGGCAUUAGUAUUUAAUUGUCAGAGGUGAAAUUCUUGGAUUUAUUAAAGACUAACCACUGCGAAAGCAUUUGCCAAGGAUGUUUUCAUUAAUCAAGAACGAAAGUUAGGGGAUCGAAGACGAUCAGAUACCGUCGUAGUCUUAACCAUAAAUGUGCCGACCAAGGAUUGGUAGAUGUUUAUCAAAAAAAAUUGACUCCCUCAGAACUUUGUGAGAAAUCACAAGUAUUUGGGUUCCGGGGGGAGUAUGGUCGCAAGGCUGAAACUUAAAGGAAUUGACGGAAGGGCACCACCAGGAGUGGAGCCUGCGGCUUAAUUUGAC
rnacentral:rRNA from 1 species